rnacentral:pre_miRNA from 1 species
AUCACCUGAGGACCUUGUUAAAAGGCAGAUUCUGAUUCUCUUGGGGGCCUGGGAGUCUGCAUUUCUAGCAAGUCCUCAAGAGAUGCUUC